rnacentral:lncRNA from 10 species
CUGUAACCAUCUGAAAGUUACAACUACAAAUGUGAAAAUGAAGCCAAAUCCAGAUAUUCAUUUAGCAUGAAUCCCUUUUCAAUUCCUGCUAAUUGGCAAUUGUAGGUGGUCUUGGUAGAGAGACUAGCAGUUGAACAGGAAAGAAAUCACCAUUCUCAAAGUGAACCUGCUGGUUCCCGUGCAGUGUCACGGUAACAGGACAGGACUAGGUGGUUCAGCUAAUUUCCUGAAUAUACUGCUGCUGAGGAACAGAGGGGAUUUGAACUUUGCUAUUGGGAUACUGUCUGUCACCAGCACCAAGUUUAAUUCCAAGAAACCGAAGGAAACUAUGUCAGGCCCGUCUUGAACCAUCUUUCUGAUUCACAGCCAAUUCACAAUGUUCCAUGAAGGGUUUGCAAUAAAGAGUAAUAUGUUGGGGAAAUUAAAUCAUGAAUUGGAGCUGUUAAUUACACACACAUUGGUUUAAAGCUGAAGCAAAUACUUCUAUCUGCCCUUUGUUGCACAUUUUGCAUGCCUGCCUGUUCCUCUACUGCUGCUGCUCGGUCUGUUUCUCUCUAAUCUACGCCUCAAACACUUCCCCUACCCAAUUCCAGGAGCUAACACAAAUGUAAAAUGUAAAUUGUGGCCUAGAUUGCUGCUACCGGAGUGUGGAGAGAGAUGCCAGAUUCUGUAAUAGCCUAGAUGUGUCGGGGAUCAACUUCCAGGUCCUUGCAUAUUGACAAACUCUUCUUGUAUCCAUCACUUGGGUUUCCUAUCGAGUUGUCUUCUUGGGCCAAUUAUGUACAUUUCCCAUGUGUUUUUCUUGGCAUACAGAGAACUCUAUAUUUGAGACCGUGAAGCCAACUUACUUCACAUUGAAACUUCCUUCUCUUUCACUUCCCUAUGAUAAAGCCUGAAGGAUAAUUCUGCCAAUAUUUUCUUCCAGCAAUAAUCAACUAUCUUACUAUCUGUAGUAAGUAGCUACUACAAAAUGUUAUGGCACAAUUGACAAUGACAUUAUACUACACAAACUUUCACCUCUGUCCUCAAGACAUUUUUACCAAAGAAGGGUUUUGAUUAUUCUGAACUCUAAGACUACUUCAAGACAAAAAGGAGGGAAGAACAUGUGCCAAGACACAGAUGUGCAGACCCAGUGCUGCCGGGAGGAUGGGGACAAGGAAGACAUCAAUGUGGUGAAUGAUGACUCAGGUUAGGGAUGGCAGGAGAGGAACUGAAAAGAAAGAUUGUGUUCUAACGAUGCAGUAAAGAAUCUGGAUCUCACCCAGUAAGCAGCAGAAAAGGCUCAAAGGACAUUUUUUCUCCAGAGACAUUAUCCAUUGGUUUUUUUAGGGAAAACAAAAUAACACCUGGUCAUGCUAUAGAGCAUUAACUGGGGAAGAGAGAAUGAGUGAGAGAAACACUGUUGCAACUAUCAGAGCAAGAGAUGAUGGGACCUAGUUUAGGGCAGUGAGAGUGUGUGCGUGGAGUGGAGGGGGCUCAUUUUGGAAAUCUUUCUGAGGCAUAGGCAAUGGUACUUAGUGUUCCACUGAUACUAUGGGUAAAGGAUGAGGGGUCAAAGUGGAGAGUGACUUCCUUAACCAAAGGAGGACAAGAAAAAGAAGCGAUGUUGCCGAAUGACAUUUACAAAAGUGUAUUUUCUAGUUGCAAGGAGUCUGAGAUACCUACGGAUUCUCCAAACAGGAUACCUAUAGACAGCUGAAAAUACAAGACUGGUUUUACACAGCAAUGUCAGAGCUGAAGAGACAGGUGAUAAUCACAGGCAUGAAUGUAUUGAAGUUACUGAGGGACUACAAAGUGAACAUAACUGGGAACAGCACCAUCAAAACGAUCAGCAUUUAAAGAGCAGGGAGUGGGAAGAGCCAAUGAUUGAAGCUGAGACUAAACUAACUGAAGAGAAAAUCAAGGCACAAUUCUUGCUAUAAUAUCCGAAGAGGGAACUUGCGGCAGACGGACUGGAGGGUGGGAUUUGCAUUCCUGUUUGGAGUCAGGAUUUCCAUGGUCUACACCUCAUGUGUUGCAUGUAGACGUUCAAGGUAUUUUUAUUGUGAUAUGUCAGCACACAGAAUUGGAAGGCAUGUCACAAGGUCAGGAGUUCGAGUUCUGUUGAUAGUCUCAGACCUCUUCCAACUUCAACAAGGUCAACAAGAUAAACCACAAACCUGGAUGAGUUCAUGUUAUUCCAGAUGCAUUAUCUCCUAAUCUUCAGGAAGAGGCUCCUUCAGCGGGAAGGAGCAUGGCAGGAUCUUCCCUGAAAAAACAGAAAUAGCCGUGUCUAAUCCCUGCUCUGCCUGGAAAGGAAAAGGCUCACCUACUUCCCAUGUCAAGGCAAGAAUCAGAAUUCCUCUCAAAUUCUUAAAACAUUGCAAAGUAAAGACAGAUACUAACUCUAAAUAUGAUUCAUGCUCAAGUUAUUAAAAAUGGAAUACAUUGUACCAGAAGGAAAAUGGUAAACAAUUUUAAAUUCCAAAGGCAAGGGAAUGUUUUUGGUUUAAUAACCAGAGUAUGGCUUCAACAGGAGCUUAUGUAGUAUACACACCAUAAUUAAAUCUAAUUCAAUCACCUGAGUAAUCAAGUGGUUAAGCGAAUAAACUAAGUAAUCAAUCGUAAAAGUGAUUUGCUGUUUAGAAGAAAGAAGUUGUAAUAUGUGUGCCAAUAUUUUUAAAGAAUAAGGAAUCUCAGGUCUUCAACUCUGUCAACAAUUAUUAGCAUUGUUUUGUUUCAGUCUUCUUAUUUACAGAGUAAAAAGACCAUUCAUUCAUUCAACAAGUAUUUAUGGAAAGCAGCAUUUUCUGAACAUGAUUCCUGCACUCAAGGUGUUUUACAAUCAUGUGGCCUGCCACUUUAUUGAAGAUGUUUUAGGGAAAACAAUUAACUUUUGACAAAGUUCAGAAUUAUUCAAACAUAACAUAAAUGGCCAAUGAAUCUUUUCAGAGAAAGCAUAGUCUAGUGGAUAAAUAUUUACACUAGUCUGCCCCUGAGUCUUACAAUUUUUCUAUGUCCAUUUUUCCUCACUCUGUAAUGGUGGGCAGACAGAAGGUGGGGCUAGCUGACCUUCAAAUUCCCUUCCAAUUUUUAUGAAAUACAAUUUUUAGUAUUAAGUGAGUAAUCACAUUGUGCAAGGUGCUUACCUGGAUAUAGCUCAGUUCUUUUUCUGAUUGCAAGAACAGAGCAAGAUGGAACCAUGAACUGCUAAACGACCCAUGGCAAUUUUUAAAGGAUUCCUCAAGCAGAUGGUUCUCUGGUAGUUCUUACAGCAGGAAAAGCCCCCUACAGUUCACAAAAGAGUCAAGUUGCAUUCUUCCAAACUGUCCUGAUUUUGCCGAUUUGCACAAUCUAAUAAAAUCUUUCCAUCAUAUUUCUCUUUUCCAUUUGUGGACCACUACUCAGUGAGUACAUUUAUUAUGUGUGGCUAAUAAUUUACUUUUUUGUUCUUUUUUGUUGUAAAAGCGUCAUAUUAACUACCUUUUGAGCGCAUGAAAAUGCAUAUUCGAAACAUUGCUGAGUUCAGAUUGAUUGAAUUUGACUGUGACCUUAGUGAGCCAUUCAUUUAUUCAACAAGGUUUGAUUGAACAUUUACCAUCCUAUCACUUCAGCCCACACAUUGGACAACCAAUCAGAGUUAUCACACUUCUUAGGGCAUAAAACAGAUACAUAUUCAUUAAGUUACAUAUUCCCAGUCCAAAUUAGCUUGACCCAAUUCAAGUCUUCCUUCAGAUUUUUAGAGUUCUUGCCAAAUCGUUUUCCUAUUCCCAUUUUCUCUUCACUUCCCAUUGCCCUCUUGUCCUCAAUUUCUUUUGUGUUCAUUCUCUCUCUUCUUCUUGUUUUCAGUUUCUGUCUUCUCUUUCACAAAGUUUUCUCACUUAGCUAUAAUGUAUGUUUAAUAAUACACUAUUUCAUUAUUGUGUUACUCAAAAUCCUCAAGCCACUUUAUCUCAAGAUGCAAAUACCUAGACCUCAGGUUCAAAGCUAAUAAUCUAA